rnacentral:tRNA from 1 species
GGCUCGGUAGCUCAGCUGGCUAGAGCGCAGGACUCAUAAUCUUAAAAAAGAAGGGCUAGAGUUUAUGAGCUGAGUCCUCGGGUGAGACAUCCUGAGGUCGCGAGAUCGAAACUCGCUCGAGCCA